rnacentral:rRNA from 1 species
GCGUGGGUGAAGAAGGUCUUCGGAUUGUAAAGCCCUUUCGGCGGGGACGAUGAUGACGGUACCCGCAGAAGAAGCCCCGGCUAACUUCGUGCCAGCAGCCGCGGUAAUACGAAGGGGGCUAGCGUUGCUCGGAAUGACUGGGCGUAAAGGGCGCGUAGGCGGAUCUGACAGUCAGGCGUGAAAUUCCUGGGCUCAACCUGGGGGCUGCGCUUGAUACGUUGGGUCUAGAGUGGGGAAGAGGGUCGUGGAAUUCCCAGUGUAGAGGUGAAAUUCGU